CACGUAGGAGGCGAGCGUUGUCCGGAAUCAUUGGGCGUAAAGAGCGCGCAGGCGGCUUGGCAAGUCGGGUGUGAAAUCCCGGGGCUCAACCCCGUGACUGCAUCCGAUACUGUCAGGCUAGAGGUAGGUAGGGGAGAUCGGAAUUCCUGGUGUAGCGGUGAAAUGCGCAGAUAUCAGGAGGAACACCGGUGGCGAAGGCGGAUCUCUGGGCCUUACCUGGACGCUCAGGCGCGAAAGCUAGGGGAGCGAACAGG
rnacentral:rRNA from 1 species